ACAAAGGUGGCUGAGCCUGAGGUCUUAAAGGGAAGAUGUGACCGGCGGCUCCAUGAAUACAUUUGGCCACUUCUUCUUUUCUUCAUGUGAAUGUGAGGUUACGUAGCCAUGUGUGGAAGUGCUGGUCUGAGGUACAACAGAACCGGUGUUGUUUGCAGUCACUUUACUUUUCAGGUCCGGAGUCUGGUUCCAGUCUGUCGCCGAGUCUGGUCCUGGACUUUCCCCGUGCCAGCGGGUGAGGCGAUGGUCAUCUUGGGAGCUCCAUGCCGGGUUGAGAGAAGUUAAAAGAGAGCGUCUGUCGUUUCAUUUAAUGCCCAGCCUAAGCCAUGACAGCCAUGACAGAAAGGGCAGCGGAGCGGACUCGGCUGAGGAGAGCGGCGGUCGGAAGGGUUGGUUCUUUCUCAGCCGCUGUAUUACAGGCGGCGCACAAGCCUCUGCUUGCGCUCCGUCCGUCCUUCCUAUCCAGAACGUCGUUCUGGCAGAAGUCGGGUAAUACGCGUCGUCUUGCUAGAAGUGACAUAUGACCCCCCCCAGCAUUGUGGGUUUUCUUUCACAAGGAAACUAGAGGACAUUGAGUCUUGAUAAAAACGUGGUUAUCGGGCCUAAUGAUCUACUUGCCUAUGGAGGUUAGGAUGAUGUCUUUCUCUUUAUGUC